rnacentral:rRNA from 1 species
UGGGGAAUCUUGGACAAUGGGCGCAAGCCUGAUCCAGCAAUGCCGCGUGCGUGAAGAAGGCCUUCGGGUUGUAAAGCGCUUUUGUCAGGGAGCAAGAAGGGGUGGCUAAUAUCCACCCUGGAUGAGAGUACCUGAAGAAUAAGGACCGGCUAACUACGUGCCAGCAGCCGCGGUAAUACGUAGGGUCCAAGCGUUAAUCGGAAUUACUGGGCGUAAAGCGUGCGCAGGUGGUUCGUUAAGCGCGAUGUGAAAUCCCCGGGCUCAACCUGGGAAUUGCAUUGCGAACUGGCGAACUAGAGUACGGGAGAGGGGGGUGGAAUUCCACGUGUAGCAGUGAAAUGCGUAGAGAUGUGGAGGAACACCGAUGGCGAAGGCAGCCCCCUGGCCUGCUACUGACACU